ACUAGAGUAGCACUCGCAUAUCAAUAAGCGGAGGAAAAGAAACUAACAAGGAUUCCCUAGUAACGGCGAGUGAAGCGGGAAGAGCUCAAAUUUGAAAUCUUCAAGGUUUUACCUUGACGAAUUGUAGUUUAAAGAAGUGUUUUCUGUUAGGAGUUGGUAAAAGUUCUUUGGAAUAGGACAUCAUAGAGGGUGAGAAUCCCGUAUUUGACCAUUACUUUCUAGCUGUGUGAUACACUUUCAAAGAGUCGGAUUGUUUGGGAAUGCAGUCCAAAAUGGGUGGUAAAUUUCAUCUAAAGCUAAAUAUUGGCGAGAGACCGAUAGCGAACAAGUACCGUGAGGGAAAGAUGAAAAGAACUUUGAAAAGAGAGUUAAACAGUACGUGAAAUUGUCAAAAGGGAAGCGUUUGACACCAGUGUUGUUUUUCCGAAAAUCAAUUACGAAUGUUUUGUUUUUGAGAAGUUAUGACUUCAUCGGCUUGCUUCUCUCUUUACGAAACUUUCUUAAUGCACUUUUCGGUUAACAAGUCAACAUCAAUUUCUUUUGUUGUAAAAGGGUAUGAGGAAGGUGGCUUUCUUUUCGGAGAAAGUGUUUAUAGCCUUGUACCUCUGCAAUCGGAGAGAUUGAGGUCUGCAGCGUAGAUCCUUCGGGGUUAGAUACAUUUGUGCUAAGUUAUAGCUUUUCAUAGACAACUUGUUGACUAUGUUUAGUCUUGUAGCUUACUCGCUUAUGCUAUUUUACCUACGCUUAGGAUGUUGAAGAUGUAGCACAUCAU
rnacentral:rRNA from 1 species